rnacentral:rRNA from 1 species
AGCAGCCGCGGUAAUUCCAGCUCCAAUAGCGUAUAUUAAAGUUGUUGCAGUUAAAAGCUCGUAGUUGAAUUUCGGGAUUAGUGCGCUGGUCAUGCCUUUGGUAUGUACUGGUGUUACUGAUUUCUACCUUCUGAAGAACCGUUAUGUCAUUUAUUUGGUGUGGCGGGGAAUCAGGACUGUUACUUUGAAAAAAUUAGAGUGUUUAAAGCAGGCUCGCGCUUGAAUACAUUAGCAUGGAAUAAUGAAAUAGGACGUUUGACCCUAUUUUGUUGGUUUCUAGGAUCGGCGUAAUGAUUAAUAGGGAUAGUUGGGGGCAUUAGUAUUCAAUUGUCAGAGGUGAAAUUCUUGGAUUUAUUGAAGACUAACUACUGCGAAAGCAUUUUGCCAAGGAUGUUUUCAUUAAUCAAGAACGAAAGUUAGGGGAUCGAAGACGAUCAGAUACCGUCGUAGUCUUAACCAUAAACUAUGCCGACUAGGGAUCGGAUGAUGUUAUUUUUAAUGACUCAUUCGGCGCCUUACG